GACGAACGCUGGCGGCGUGCUUAACACAUGCAAGUCGAACGGAAAGGCCUUUUCGGAGGUACUCGAGUGGCGAACGGGUGAGUAACACGUGGGUGAUCUGCCCUGCACUCUCGGAUAAGCCUGGGAAACUGGGUCUAAUACCGGAUAGGACCGCACUUUAGUGUGUGUGGUGGAAAGUUGUUUCGGUGUAGGAUGAGCCCGCGGCCUAUCAGCUUGUUGGUGGGGUAAUGGCCUACCAAGGCGGCGACGGGUAGCCGGACUGAGAGGUUGGUCGGCCACAUUGGGACUGAGAUACGGCCCAGACUCCUACGGGAGGCAGCAGUGGGGAAUAUUGCACAAUGGGCGCAAGCCUGAUGCAGCGACGCCGCGUGGGGGAUGACGGCCUUCGGGUUGUAAACUCCUUUCGCCAGGGACGAAGCGUUUUGUGACGGUACCUGGAGAAGAAGCACCGGCUAACUACGUG
rnacentral:rRNA from 1 species